AUGACAAAUUCAAAUCUGGGUGAUCGGGAUUUGUAUUUGGUUUUCUUUUUCUUGUGUCCUCCCCCUCCCCACCUUUUACUAAAAACGGGGGCGGGGGCUGGACGGGGCAUUUCCUCCCAAAUCGAAUUCUGUCAUUCACGUAGCACCAAGGAGGCGCUUGCUACUGGUCUCUGGAGUAACCGACAUGCCAUUACACGAUGCAGUUCUGUUCAUGUGUGCAUUCUUUGUUCUAAGGAUGUAACCGCUGUUAAUGGCAAGGCUUGGCGGAUGUGGAGAACAGAGAUCCCAGUAACUCAGAACAGCCUCCCGAACAGAUUCCGUUCCUUCCACCCAUUUGUUAAAGCGUCGUUUGGCCCGAAAACGACAAUACCGAACGGACCGGAUAAACCCAAUCAAAGAUAAUGGAUUUUCCUCCCUCUUGGCCCCCACCCCUCUUACCCCCAGCAAACCUGCCGAGAUGUUGACAGUGACCAGUCUCAAAGAAAAGAAAAAGGGGGAGGGGGGAGAAAAACCCAGUUUCAUGCACUUUACUUUGCUUUUUUUUUUUAAUUUUUUAUUAAAAUAAUUUUUUUAAUUUGACAGAUUCUGCCUUCUCUGUAUAUAUGUGCAUAAAACGUUGUGUAAAUAUACUAAACAAACUUAUAUUUCAAUAAAAGGGGAUUUAAAGUUUAGAAUUUGGACAGCUUUAACUGUUUGAGGCACCUGAUCUCCCCUCACCCACCCUGAGUUGAGUAGGUAGCUGAGCUGAAUUCCUUCUGAUAAACAUCCAGUUCUGUAGAAAUCUGUCACAGUGACCUCAAAUGCUUGUAAAAACAAAGGGAUUUCCAGCAAUGUAGGUCAUUUUAGGGAGAAUUACUGAGAAUUUGUCUUUUCUUUGUUCAGCUCUUACCCAUUCUUCAUUCAGGACUGAGAAACAAGUUCUCCAAGUUCAGCCUGGGGAGUAAAGGGGAGAAGGAAAGAAAGCUUUCUAUUUCCUGACAAAGAAAACUUCAAUAAAAAGGAUUUGAGUGGAAUAUAUACCUGUUUUAAUCAUGUGACAGCCGUGACUGAACCAGACUUUCAGGUUUAAAAUUUGAUAGAUUCCCUUAAAAAAUAAUGAUGAUGUGUUAAAAGACUGUUUUCAGUUUUCCAGUUCUCUUCCCAUGGAAACACACAGAUAAUACAAUCAGCACAUACUGUAAAUGUGAGGAGGGAAGAACUAAUAGGAGCCAUAAAUAAAUCCUCUUUAAUCUCUCGGUAUGAAUUCUAAAUUCACCAAGCCAGAUCAUAGUUUCUUCAUCAUCCGCCUAAAUCCUGCUCUCUUGAAGGGACAGGAAGUGCUGUUAUUGAGCAUAAUCUUGUCUUCUCAGGGAAGCAAUGCUGACUCUUGAGCUUGAGAAGCUAGAAAUCGGCCACAAAAGGCAACAUGGCAAUACUUUCCUCAGAUCUCCAAGCUUGCAAAGCCUUUUUUAGGGUUUGGUAUUCAGCUUUUGUCUUGUUUUGGUUUUUAAUCAAAAGUAGAGUGUUAUAAUCAUUUUG
rnacentral:lncRNA from 1 species